rnacentral:ribozyme from 2 species
CAGAGAUGGCGUGAGUAAUGGGCCGCUGAAGUUGGCUGCAACGGGCGUAUCUCUCUGGUGCAAGAAGAUGUCUGAGAGUGGUCGGGGUAGCUAGCUGAGCU